rnacentral:tRNA from 1 species
GCCGGGGUAGUGUAGCUGGUGCGCACGGAUGUCUGAAAAACAUCAAGACGCAGUUCGAUUCUGCGCCCCGGCA